AUUGAACGCUGGCGGCAUGCCUUACACAUGCAAGUCGAACGGCAGCACGGGUGCUUGCACCUGGUGGCGAGUGGCGAACGGGUGAGUAAUACAUCGGAACAUGUCCUGUAGUGGGGGAUAGCCCGGCGAAAGCCGGAUUAAUACCGCAUACGAUCCACGGAUGAAAGCGGGGGACCUUCGGGCCUCGCGCUAUCGGGUUGGCCGAUGGCUGAUUAGCUAGUUGGUGGGGUAAAGGCCUACCAAGGCGACGAUCAGUAGCUGGUCUGAGAGGACGACCAGCCACACUGGGACUGAGACACGGCCCAGACUCCUACGGGAGGCAGCAGUGGGGAAUUUUGGACAAUGGGCGAAAGCCUGAUCCAGCAAUGCCGCGUGUGUGAAGAAGGCCUUCGGGUUGUAAAGCACUUUUGUCCGGAAAGAAAUCCUUGACUCUAAUACAGUCGGGGGAUGACGGUACCGGAAGAAUAAGCACCGGCUAACUACGUG
rnacentral:rRNA from 1 species